GACGAACGCUGGCGGCGUGCUUAACACAUGCAAGUCGAACGGAAAGGCCCUGCUUUUGUGGGGUUCUCGAGUGGCGAACGGGUGAGUAACACGUGAGUAACCUGCCCUUGACUUUGGGAUAACUUCAGGAAACUGGGGCUAAUACCGGAUAGGAGCUCCUGCUGCAUGGUGGGGGUUGGAAAGUUUCGGCGGUUGGGGAUGGACUCGCGGCUUAUCAGCUUGUUGGUGGAGUAGUGGCUUACCAAGGCUUUGACGGGUAGCCGGCCUGAGAGGGUGACCGGCGACCAUGGGACUGCGGGAGGGACCAGACGCGUACGGUAGGCAGUAGUCGGGAAUAUUGCACAGUGAGGGGAAGCGUGUGACGACGACGCUGGGUUCGUGAUGAACGCCUUUGGGUUAAGAACCGCUUUCGCCUGUGACGAAGCGUGAGUGACGGUAAUGGGUAAAGAAGCACCGGCUAACUACGUG
rnacentral:rRNA from 1 species